rnacentral:lncRNA from 1 species
AUGGGUGGCAGGCAUGCUCUCAGAAAUAGCCUAAGUUGGAGCUACCUCACCUCAGUAGCAUCCCCACCUGGCUGAAGCUGACGUGGAAAGAAGCAAAGGAGCAGAUUUACAAACUGGCCAAGAAAAAUCUGACUCGCUCCCAAGAGGCACAGCUCCAUUUUGUGACGAGUAAUAAAAAUCUUGAGAAUCUUUAAGUCCAAAGGUUUUUCCCUUGAGCUCCCUGAGCUUUGAGCUCCCUGAGCUUCUCUGCCAUUUGAUUAGGAAAGCAGUUGCUAUCCAAAGGCAUCUUGAGAGGAACAGAAAGGAUAAGAAUGCUAACUUCCUUCACAUUCUGAUAGAGAGAGCAGAAUUCACUGACUGGCUCAUCCUUAUAGGACUGAGUCUUCCCACCCAAUUGGAAA